UACGAGGGGGGCAAGCGUUGUUCGGAAUUAUUGGGCGUAAAGGGUGCGUAGGCGGUUUGAUAAGUCACAUGUGAAAUCUUCGGGCUCAAUCCGAAGUCUGCAUGCGAAACUGUCGGGCUUGAGUAUGGGAGAGGUGAGUGGAAUUUCCGGUGUAGCGGUGAAAUGCGUAGAUAUCGGAAGGAACACCUGUGGCGAAAGCGGCUCACUGGACCAUAACUGACGCUGAUGCACGAAAGCUGGGGGAGCAAACAGG
rnacentral:rRNA from 1 species